AUUGAACGCUGGCGGCAGGCCUAACACAUGCAAGUCGAGCGAGCGGCGGACGGGUGAGUAAUGUCUGGGAAACUGCCUGAUGGAGGGGGAUAACUACUGGAAACGGUAGCUAAUACCGCAUACCAUCCGAUUUGCCCAGAUGGGAUUAGCUAGUGGGUGGGGUAACGGCGCACCUAGGCGACGAACCCUAGCUGGUCUGAGAGGAUGACCAGCCACACUGGAACGGAGACACGGUCCAGACUCCUACGGGAGGCAGCAGUGGGGAAUAUUGCACAAUGGGCGCAAGCCUGAUGCAGCAAGGCCGCGUGUGUGAAGAAGGCCUUCGGGUUGGAAAGCACUUUCAGCGGAGAGGCGUUACCCGCAGAAGAAGCACCGGCUAACUCCGUGCCAGCAGCCGCGGUAAUUC
rnacentral:rRNA from 1 species